AUGAACGCUGGCGGCGUGCCUAAUACAUGCAAGUCGAGCAAACAGACGAGGAGCUUGCUCCUCUGACGUUAGCGGCGGACGGGUGAGUAACACGUGGAUAACCUACCUAUAAGACUGGGAUAACUUCGGGAAACCGGAGCUAAUACCGGAUAAUAUAUUGAACCGCAUGGUUCAAUAGUGAAAGACGGUUUUGCUGUCACUUAUAGAUGGAUCCGCGCCGCAUUAGCUAGUUGGUAAGGUAACGGCUUACCAAGGCAACGAUGCGUAGCCGACCUGAGAGGGUGAUCGGCCACACUGGAACUGAGACACGGUCCAGACUCCUACGGGAGGCAGCAGUAGGGAAUCUUCCGCAAUGGGCGAAAGCCUGACGGAGCAACGCCGCGUGAGUGAUGAAGGUCUUCGGAUCGUAAAACUCUGUUAUUAGGGAAGAACAAAUGUGUAAGUAACUAUGCACAUCUUGACGGUACCUAAUCAGAAAGCCACGGCUAACUACGUG
rnacentral:rRNA from 1 species